rnacentral:rRNA from 1 species
UACGUAGGGUGCAAGCGUUGUCCGGAAUUAUUGGGCGUAAAGAGCUCGUAGGCGGCUUGUCGCGUCGGCUGUGAAAACCCGCGGCUCAACUGUGGGCGGGCAGCUGAUACGGGGCAGGGCUGGAGUUCGGUAGGGGAGACUGGAAUUCCUGGUGUAGCGGUGAAAUGCGCAGAUAUCAGGAGGAACACCGGUGGCGAAGGGCGGGGUCUCUGGGCCCGAUACUGACGCUGAGGAGCGAAAAGCGUGGGGAGCGAACAGG